rnacentral:rRNA from 1 species
GGUUAAGCGACUAAGCGUACACGGUGGAUGCCCUGGCAGUCAGAGGCGAUGAAGGACGUGCUAAUCUGCGAUAAGCGUCGGUGAGGUGAUAUGAACCGUUAUAACCGGCGAUUUCCGAAUGGGGAAACCCAGUGUGUUUCGACACACUAUCAUUAACUGAAUCCAUAGGUUAAUGAGGCGAACCGGGGGAACUGAAACAUCUAAGUACCCCGAGGAAAAGAAAUCAACCGAGAUUCCCCCAGUAGCGGCGAGCGAACGGGGAGGAGCCCAGAGCCUGAAUCAGUGUGUGUGUUAGUGGAAGCGUCUGGAAAGGCGUGCGAUACAGGGUGACAGCCCCGUACACAAAAAUGCACAUAUUGUGAGCUCGAUGAGUAGGGCGGGACACGUGGUAUCCUGUCUGAAUAUGGGGGGACCAUCCUCCAAGGCUAAAUACUCCUGACUGACCGAUAGUGAACCAGUACCGUGAGGGAAAGGCGAAAAGAACCCCGGCGAGGGGAGUGAAAAAGAACCUGAAACCGUGUACGUACAAGCAGUGGGAGCCUCUUAAUGGGGUGACUGCGUACCUUUUGUAUAAUGGGUCAGCGACUUAUAUUCUGUAGCAAGGUUAACCGAAUAGGGGAGCCGAAGGGAAACCGAGUCUUAACUGGGCGUUAAGUUGCAGGGUAUAGACCCGAAACCCGGUGAUCUAGCCAUGGGCAGGUUGAAGGUUGGGUAACACUAACUGGAGGACCGAACCGACUAAUGUUGAAAAAUUAGCGGAUGACUUGUGGCUGGGGGUGAAAGGCCAAUCAAACCGGGAGAUAGCUGGUUCUCCCCGAAAGCUAUUUAGGUAGCGCCUCGUGAAUUCAUCUCCGGGGGUAGAGCACUGUUUCGGCAAGGGGGUCAUCCCGACUUACCAACCCGAUGCAAACUGCGAAUACCGGAGAAUGUUAUCACGGGAGACACACGGCGGGUGCUAACGUCCGUCGUGAAGAGGGAAACAACCCAGACCGCCAGCUAAGGUCCCAAAGUCAUGGUUAAGUGGGAAACGAUGUGGGAAGGCCCAGACAGCCAGGAUGUUGGCUUAGAAGCAGCCAUCAUUUAAAGAAAGCGUAAUAGCUCACUGGUCGAGUCGGCCUGCGCGGAAGAUGUAACGGGGCUAAACCAUGCACCGAAGCUGCGGCAGCGACACUAUGUGUUGUUGGGUAGGGGAGCGUUCUGUAAGCCUGUGAAGGUGGCCUGUGAGGGUUGCUGGAGGUAUCAGAAGUGCGAAUGCUGACAUAAGUAACGAUAAAGCGGGUGAAAAGCCCGCUCGCCGGAAGACCAAGGGUUCCUGUCCAACGUUAAUCGGGGCAGGGUGAGUCGACCCCUAAGGCGAGGCCGAAAGGCGUAGUCGAUGGGAAACAGGUUAAUAUUCCUGUACUUGGUGUUACUGCGAAGGGGGGACGGAGAAGGCUAUGUUGGCCGGGCGACGGUUGUCCCGGUUUAAGCGUGUAGGCUGGUUUUCCAGGCAAAUCCGGAAAACC